UACGAAGGGAGCUAGCGUUGUUCGGAAUCACUGGGCGUAAAGCGCACGUAGGCGGAUUUGUCAGUCAGGGGUGAAAUCCCGGGGCUCAACCUCGGAACUGCCUUUGAUACAGCAAGUCUUGAGUUCGAGAGAGGUGGGUGGAAUUCCUAGUGUAGAGGUGAAAUUCGUAGAUAUUGGAAGGAACACCAGUGGCGAAGGCGACUAUCUGGACAGAUACUGACACUGAGACACGAAAGCGUGGGGAGCAAACAGG
rnacentral:rRNA from 1 species